rnacentral:rRNA from 1 species
CGAUGAUCAGGAGCUUGCUCCUGUGAUGAGUGGCGAACGGGUGAGUAACACGUGAGUAACCUGCCCCUGACUCUGGGAUAAGCGUUGGAAACGACGUCUAAUACUGGAUAUGAUCACUGGUCGCAUGGCCUGGUGGUGGAAAGAUUUUUUGGUUGGGGAUGGACUCGCGGCCUAUCAGCUUGUUGGUGAGGUAAUGGCUCACCAAGGCGACGACGGGUAGCCGGCCUGAGAGGGUGACCGGCCACACUGGGACUGAGACACGGCCCAGACUCCUACGGGAGGCAGCAGUGGGGAAUAUUGCACAAUGGGCGAAAGCCUGAUGCAGCAACGCCGCGUGAGGGAUGACGGCCUUCGGGUUGUAAACCUCUUUUAGUAGGGAAGAAGCGAAAGUGACGGUACCUGCAGAAAAAGCACCGGCUAACUACGUGCCAGC